rnacentral:rRNA from 1 species
AUUGAACGCUGGCGGCAUGCCUUACACAUGCAAGUCGAACGGCAGCACGGGUGCUUGCACCUGGUGGCGAGUGGCGAACGGGUGAGUAAUACAUCGGAACAUGUCCUGUAGUGGGGGAUAGCCCGGCGAAAGCCGGAUUAAUACCGCAUACGAUCUACGGACGAAAGCGGGGGAUCUUCGGACCUCGCGCUAUAGGGUUGGCCGAUGGCUGAUUAGCUAGUUGGUGGGGUAAAGGCCUACCAAGGCGACGAUCAGUAGCUGGUCUGAGAGGACGACCAGCCACACUGGGACUGAGACACGGCCCAGACUCCUACGGGAGGCAGCAGUGGGGAAUUUUGGACAAUGGGCGAAAGCCUGAUCCAGCAAUGCCGCGUGUGUGAAGAAGGCCUUCGGGUUGUAAAGCACUUUUGUCCGGAAAGAAAUCCUUGGCUCUAAUACAGUCGGGGGAUGACGGUACCGGAAGAAUAAGCACCGGCUAACUACGUG